UGAUCUGUUAGAGCUAGGAGCUGGAGAGCAGAGCCAUAAGGCCCUUAGACUCAGAUCUAGACUGCAUGGUUUCUCUUAUCUUCACUAUCUCUAUAUGCCUGCUUAUUUCUCCUAUUGACAUCAUGAUAUUGAAGUUUUCCUAUGAUAUUGAUAUUCUCCUAUUAUUCUCCUAUGACAUCUUCCUCUGCUUUUUUCCUCUGUGUUUUCAGACCCAGUCUCCCAGCCAGGAAUGGAUCCCAGGGUUCAGUGGCAGCGCUGAGUCACAGCCACCAUGAUUGGUGUUGCAGGAAGCCGCAGAAGGAACUUCGUUGAUGCUCGAGCAAGCAAGCAUAAAGGGGAAAGUCUCAGCCCUCUUCUGUGUUGUUCCCAAGUAACCAGAAGGAAAGAACGAAUCAACAGUGUGAUUCCUAAUGGAUAAAAGCAGUCUGAACUUAUAGAAGACAUAACAAAAGCACCAUGUUGUGGACUUAUAAAAUCUGAUAAGCUGCAUGGUGAGAUA